rnacentral:lncRNA from 1 species
UUUCUCCAUGCUUUUUCUAUACAUUGUUUCUUGCCCGCUAUCAUACACAAGUGCAAGACCUCCAGAAAGUUAAUCAUCUCAUAUUUCAAAGUUUUCCACAAUUGUAUAGAUGCUCUCUUGAAGACUAUCUUGUCAAAGAGAAGAAUCUCUUACUUUUCACUUUGGGAGAGAGAAUAUAGAACAUCAUGAGAAAGGCAAACACAGACACCAUGGAAAUGCCUGGUGCCUUUUGUUAAGCACUUCAAAUUAGUUGCUGAAAGUACAAAGCUAUUAUCCACAUAUAUAUCCUGUACAGCAGCUGGCAACAAACAAGCAGUGAAAGCAGUAUUCAUCCAAGCCCUCAACAGGACAUUUGUUUAAAACAAAAGCCAAACCUAAACCCAACCAAACAAAAAGAACACCCGCACACACACCUGCAUUGAAUUGUUAGCUGUGUACAGGACAGGCUCCUCUAAGCUUCGCUGCUAGUGCAGGGAAGAGUUACACUUCUGAAAAAAAGUUUCCAACCAAAGAGGCAGAAUUCUUACAAGUAUAAAUAUAUUUACAAUGAAUUGGUUUCUCCACUAUUACAACAGCUAAGGUGUUCUCUAGGUGAUGCAUUAGACCAGAAAGAUAAAAAAAUACAACUUUAGAGGAACCGCACAUCUCACAAAUUAGGAAGGAAUCUUACGACUCUUCUGUUAAGACAAAUGGAAAUUACCAGCUUACUAAGAAAACAAUGUCAGAGCUCCUUGGCUGGGCAGACAAGAGGAGGACUGCCAGUUUCCUAACAAGCAAGGUGGCAAUCCUGUUGAUGAGAAUUGGCAAGGUCUUAAAGCUGAAUGGAAGAGGGGAGUAUGUGUGGAAAAUUCCUCCUCCACCCACCCCUGCAACCUACACAAGAAAAAUCUUCCACCGAGGUAGCAAGUACAAUGAAAGCGUUAGUCUCCACACGGGCACCAACCCAGUACUCAGCACUAUGCAGCCAAUGCAGAUGGUGAGCCUGAAGCUGUCCAGGAGCAAGGGAUGCUCAGUGAGAACCAACUCAGAACUGUGAUGCUGCUGUCAUCAGGGGCUACAGCUUUCUGCACUCGUCAGUCUGAAAUGGACUGAUUUAACACAUCUCCAAGAGAAAGAGGAUGAGCUAAUCGUGCACACAGGUGCAGAGAGUGAAAUGAAAAUAGAUACAUGUAAACGUAGACAUGGAAGAGGUAUCUUUCUGCAGAUGUUUUAGCUUGCUUUACAAAUUGCCACCACCAAGUUGCAAGUACACUGGUACCAAAGUGCAAUGUGGAGAGCCUGAGUAGGAACUAACAACAUGAACAAAUUCUUUGACAGCAUUGCAGGUACUAACAGGGCUUAACAAACAUAUCUAAUGCAUUGCACUAUAUUAUUAAUGACUUUUGUACCAUCAGCUGCUAAUCUCACAGAGAUCAAAAAUCAAUUGGAGACAGCUGCCACUUCACUUUCCCUGACAUCUCAAUUGAAAUUUCAAGUUUCUCUUACACAGUGCUGACAAUAACAUAGUAAGGAGAAUAUUUUGUGAAGAAGCCUAUGGGUCUCACUGCAGUGCAAAAAAGAGAGUGCUAACUAUCCAAAAUGACAAAUACGUACUGGAGAUUUGCUGGAGUAUUCCAUGUUUUUCCCCAAAGAUCAUGGGCUUACCAUUCUUCACACUUAAAUGCUGUGAAGUGCAGCACAAUCAACAACUUCAAAAAAAUAUAUAUUUUGGACUCUCUGCCAUUUAAGAUAAAAUAUUCGCAACUAAGCUGGUUGAAACAUCCAACCCAUCUUGUGAGUUUGUCCAUAAAACUAACCUCCAGCAGGACAUAAAAAAGGGGAUCCAUGUUUGAUUCAUCUGAAAGUGUUAACUGGAAAUUCCACUCAGCUAGUAAUAAAGAGGAGAAAAUAAAUGGUUAUUCCCUUUUU